rnacentral:rRNA from 1 species
UACGUAGGGUCCGAGCGUUGUCCGGAAUUAUUGGGCGUAAAGGGCGCGUAGGCGGAUGUUUAAGUCAGAGGUGAAAGCCCAGGGCUCAACCUUGGAACUGCCUUUGAUACUGGGCAUCUUGAGUAUGGGAGAGGUGAGUGGAACUCCGAGUGUAGAGGUGAAAUUCGUAGAUAUUCGGAAGAACACCAGUGGCGAAGGCGACUCACUGGCCCAUUACUGACGCUGAGGCGCGAAAGCGUGGGGAGCAAACAGGG